rnacentral:rRNA from 1 species
UACGAGAGGCCCAAACGUUAUUCGGAAUUACUGGGCUUAAAGAGUUCGUAGGCGGCAUGAAAAGCAGGGUGUGAAAGCCCUCGGCUCAACCGAGGAAUUGCGCUCUGAACUGUCGUGCUUGAGGAACCUAGAGGUGAGCAGAACAGAUGGUGGAGCGGUGAAAUGCGUUGAUAUCAGGAGGAACACCGAUGGCGAAGGCAGGUCUCUGGGCCACUACUGACGCUGAGAAGCGAAAGCAUGGGGAGCGAACAGG